rnacentral:rRNA from 1 species
GACGAACGCGGCGGCGUGCCUAAUACAUGCAAGUAGAACGCUGAAGGAGGAGCUUGCUCUUCUAGAUGAGUUGCGAACGGGUGAGUGACGCGUAGGUAACCUGCCUGGUAGCGGGGGAUAACUAUUGGAAACGAUAGCUAAUACCGCAUAACAGUAGAUGUUGCAUGACAUAUGCUUAAAAGGUGCAAUUGCAUCACUACCAGAUGGACCUGCGUUGUAUUAGCUAGUUGGUGGGGUAACGGCUCACCAAGGCAACGAUACAUAGCCGACCUGAGAGGGUGAUCGGCCACACUGGGACUGAGACACGGCCCAGACUCCUACGGGAGGCAGCAGUAGGGAAUCUUCGGCAAUGGACGGAAGUCUGACCGAGCAACGCCGCGUGAGUGAAGAAGGUUUUCGGAUCGUAAAGCUCUGUUGUAAGAGAAGAACGAGUGUGAGAGUGGAAAGUUCACACUGUGACGGUAUCUUACCAGAAAGGGACGGCUAACUACGUGCCAGCAGCCGCGGUAAUACGUAGGUCCCGAGCGUUGUCCGGAUUUAUUGGGCGUAAAGCGAGCGCAGGCGGUUAGAUAAGUCUGAAGUUAAAGGCUGUGGCUUAACCAUAGUACGCUUUGGAAACUGUUUAACUUGAGUGCAAGAGGGGAGAGUGGAAUUCCAUGUGUAGCGGUGAAAUGCGUAGAUAUAUGGAGGAACACCGGUGGCGAAAGCGGCUCUCUGGCUUGUAACUGACGCUGAGGCUCGAAAGCGUGGGGAGCAAACAGG